UGAACCUCGUAACUUCUUAGUCAUUUUAUCUCAAAGAAUCAUACAAAAAAAUGAUGUCAUGGUUUCAAUUGGUUUUCAUCUUAGCAAUAUUCAGAGGUAUCCAAACAGAAGUCCAGCUGGUAGAGUCUGGAGGGGAGGUCAAAAGGCCUGGAGAGUCCCUCCGCCUGUCCUGUCGAGCCUCUGGGUAUAACUUUGGUGGCUAUAGCAUGAACUGGGUGAGGCAGGCUCCUGGAAAAGGUCUGGAAUGGGUGGCCUAUAUAAACUCUGGUGGAAGCACACAAUCCUAUGCCAACUCGGUGAGAGGACGCUUCACCAUCUCCAGAAACAACCCUUCCAGCAUGCUGUAUCUGCAAAUGAACAGCCUGAAAGAUGAAGACACCGCAGUUUAUUACUGUGCAAGAGACAAAGUGAGAGGAAGUGAAUCUGAAGGCAGGCAAAAACCCUCCUCUCCCUCUGGCUGUUCUCCAGCAUUCCUUGAUCUGCAACAGAUGAAGUGA